UACAGAGGUCCCGAGCGUUGUUCGGAUUCACUGGGCGUAAAGGGUGCGUAGGUGGCAUAGAAAGUUUGAUGUGAAAGCUCAGGGCUUAACCCUGAAAUGGCAUUGAAUACUGCUGUGCUGGAGGUUUGGAGGGGGGGACUGGAAUUCUUGGUGUAGCAGUGAAAUGCGUAGAUAUCAAGAGGAACACCAGUGGCGAAGGCGAGUCCCUGGACAACACCUGACACUGAGGCACGAAAGCUAGGGGAGCAAACAGG
rnacentral:rRNA from 1 species